UAAUUGUGGUAAAAUUAAACUUUAUUUUUUAUAUUUUUCUUUUUUUUUUUUGGUAGAAUGAGAAAGGUUUUAUAUUUUUUUGUUUAAUUUGUAAGAUUUAAUAAGCGAACCAGAUUAGUACCUGGUUAGAUAAAAUUUAAAAGUGCAGGAGUAAAGUUGUAUUUAAACUGUAAAGAUAUUGGCAGGUCUCUUAAAUUAUCUUUGGAGGUUGGGUAAUAAUUGAGAACCCUCAUUUUCAGCUUUUUUUUUUGGCGCAUGUAUGAUCGUUUAUUUUAUUCUUAAAGAUUGUAAUUAGAAAUAAUUCUUUAAAAAAAUAGAUAAAUACCUGGUUUAUAAAAAAGUUUUAAUCUGACCUACAAUAUUUUAUAUUUUGGAUUUAUUUUUUUGAGAAUUUAAUGAAAUUGUAAAAGACAGUAAAUUAAUUUUAAUAUUUAAUUGAAGUUUAUCUAGAGACGGUACAAAUCAUC
rnacentral:rRNA from 1 species